rnacentral:lncRNA from 1 species
GAAAAGUAAAAACAAAAGGCUGAACCAUGAUGCUGGAAUAAACAAAAUUGUUGUUGAGCUUAGACUCUGAAAAUUUUCUCUGCUUUUACCCUGUGUGUGUCUGAAGGUGGAUAUUGUUAUGCAAGGAAGAGAUGUGAAUAUACAGGAAAUGAGAUCCUUAAAGGGGUUGCCGUCCAGAUGUUAGAUCAAAGAGAUUAUGAUUCAUUCAACCAAGUCGCUGGACUUUUGAAGGCCUAUCCAAGUCAUGGUGCCUUUGAGGUUGCGCCUGUUACUAUUCAAAACUUGGUUUUAACCAUUUAAGGCCAUGAGGUGUGAGGUCUUUUGAGAGUGAAAGAACUCAUAUUAAUCCAGCUCCUGACUCCUAAAAAAACAGUAACUCUUGUAAUUAAAAUGGGCAGAGUCCAUCAAGAAGCAGUGUCCAGAAGCACUGGGCCAUGUGGCGAGCAGCAGUGUCACCAGGAAACAUGCCGAGCUGGGUCAGGAACUGCGCAAGGAGGAGGAGACACUGCUCCUGUUGAAGGCAGCCCUCGCAUGACCUGCUGAAUCACAUCAAGGUUGAAGCAUUGGCCCUCCAAUCAAUGAUUAGUUCUGGGAGAGGGGAUGAGGUGCUGUCUUCUCCAACUUCUCCAACUGUGCCUGAACAGUCACACGUCAUGUCAGUGCAUAUAGAGAAUGAAGCAUCAGUCAACCAAACUACGCUGGAGUGGAGCAUAGAGUCCUGUGACAGAAGAGGAGGAGGAAGAGAAAGAAGAAUCAGAUCCCUAAAGGAGGGAAAAAGCCAGGAUUCAUUAUACAAAUUAAAUUUCUAAGUCUCAGGCUCUUUCUCCCCAAGGAAAUCAUCUUGCCAUGAGCCCUAGGGCCUGCUUGAAUGGAGAGCAAGAACUAUAGGAGGAUGUGUAGCUGCAAAAAUUUCUCAUCAAUAACUCAAUCUUCAGAACGUUAUGACAUACAGAAAAUCAAAGAUGCUGUGUCUUAGCAUUGAGCAAUAUGGGUGGUGCUAUGUCUGUAGUCUGGUCAAAUUCAGUAACUGUGUUCAAAACAAAAUUUCCUCUGGAAUACUAUUGAGAAAAUCUGGCAUUUGCAAAAAGGGCAGAGUUUAAAUAUGAGCCAGUCUUUCCAAUCAACAAUACCUCUUUUAAGAAAACCAACUAACAGCUGUUUGCAUGCCGUUGAAUCCUUGUGAGCAGUUAGGCCACAGUCUAGGACAGAAAGAUGACACGGGGAAGGACUGAGGGCCAUCUGAGAACAAAAGUUGUUGCUACUUCUCAGAGGCAUUGAGACACACUGCAUGCUGUAGACUGCUUUGUGUAACUGUUGUCACAUCUUGCUUGAGAUGUCAUUGGCAGAAUGUUCUUAAAAAUAAAUUAUAGAUAAAUAGCCAUCAUGGAGUUUGCUGGUUUCUAGAUAGCAAAAGAGAAAAGAAGCAGUUCCUGCCUGGCCCGGUGGCUCAUGCCUGUAAUCCCAGCACUUUGGGAGGCUGAGGUGAGUAGAUCACUUGAGGUCAGGAGCUCGAGACCAACCUGGCCAACAUGGUGAAACCCUGUCUCUAUUAAAAAUACAAAAAUUAGCUGGGCAUGGUGGCAUGCGCCUGUAAUCCCAGCUACUCAGGAGGCUGAGGCAGGAUAAUCACUUGAACUCAGGAGGUGGAGGUUGCAGUGAGCCGAGAUUUUGCCAAUGCACUCCAGCUGGGGCAACAGAGCGAGACUCUGUCUCAAAAAAAAAAAAAAAAAAAAAAAAAAAGA